GUAGGUGGCAAGCGUUGUCCGGAAUUAUUGGGCGUAAAGCGCGCGCAGGUGGGUUCUUUAAGUCUGAUGUGAAAGCCCCCGGGCUCAACCGGGGAGGGUCAUUGGAAACUGGGGAACUUGAGUGCAGGAGAGGAAAGUGGAAUUCCACGUGUAGCGGUGAAAUGCGUAGAUAUGUGGAGGAACACCAGUGGCGAAGGCGACUUUCUGGCCUGUAACUGACACUGAGGCGCGAAAGCGUGGGGAGCAAACAGGAUUAGAUACCCUGGUAGUCCACGCCGUAAACGAUGAGUGCUAAGUGUGGGGGGGUUUCCGCCCCUCAGUGCUGCAGCUAACGCAUUAAGCACUCCGCCUGGGGAGUACGGUCGCAAGACUG
rnacentral:rRNA from 1 species